AUUGAACGCUGGCGGCAGGCCUAACACAUGCAAGUCGAGCGGAUGAAGGGAGCUUGCUCCUGGAUUCAGCGGCGGACGGGUGAGUAAUGCCUAGGAAUCUGCCUGGUAGUGGGGGAUAACGUCCGGAAACGGGCGCUAAUACCGCAUACGUCCUGAGGGAGAAAGUGGGGGAUCUUCGGACCUCACGCUAUCAGAUGAGCCUAGGUCGGAUUAGCUAGUUGGUGGGGUAAAGGCCUACCAAGGCGACGAUCCGUAACUGGUCUGAGAGGAUGAUCAGUCACACUGGAACUGAGACACGGUCCAGACUCCUACGGGAGGCAGCAGUGGGGAAUAUUGGACAAUGGGCGAAAGCCUGAUCCAGCCAUGCCGCGUGUGUGAAGAAGGUCUUCGGAUGGUAAAGCACUUUAAGUGGGGAGGAAGGGCAGUAAGUUAAUACCUUGCUGUUUUGACGUUACCAACAGAAUAAGCACCGGCUAACUUCGUG
rnacentral:rRNA from 1 species